UACGUAGGGCGCAAGCGUUGUCCGGAAUUAUUGGGCGUAAAGAGCUCGUAGGCGGUUUGUCGCGUCUGUCGUGAAAGCUUGGGGCUUAACCCCAAGUCUGCGGUGGAUACGGGCAGGCUAGAGUGUGGUAGGGGAGACUGGAAUUCCUGGUGUAGCGGUGAAAUGCGCAGAUAUCAGGAGGAACACCGGUGGCGAAGGCGGAUCUCUGGGCCGAUACUGACGCUGAGGAGCGAAAGCGUGGGGAGCGAACAGG
rnacentral:rRNA from 1 species